GAUGGUAUAGCUCAAAUAGCGGAGCGCAUGCUUAGCAUGCAUGAGGUCCUGGUUAAAUCUCCAGUAUCUACA
rnacentral:tRNA from 1 species